AGACAUACCUUGGUCAAAUUAACUUCAUAUCAAUAAAGCGGACGGACGGAAAAAAUAUGCUGAAUAAGCAAUUAAAUUAAAGAUGCUGCAACCACACCAAACUCGCAUCGGCCGCUUCGCUUGAGAGCACAGACCAUACCAGACGUGGACCAGCGACAUAAUGCGCCCAGGGCAGAUGAACUGGUAAGUGUCAAAUAAAUAAUACGCCACGGCGUAUUCUUUAUUACUCCUCUCAGCCACCUACUUGCACUCACCACGGCAUCCCUCGCUCCAUGUCCAAGAUGCCAUAGUAAUAGAAAGACGGGUCACCCAUUGCGAGGUUGAUAUGAGGCUCUAUCGUGGUUGAGUGAUAUCCUGGAGAGAAAUGGCACUACCCCGUUCUAACCCCUGUGCACAUUACACCACUGGAACACUCCUGGCGGCCCCGCACUCGCGACUGCGUAAGACCACGAGUAUCGUCGCUCUCAGUCCCCGACGGAUAAUUCAGGUAAGUCGAACGGUAAGUAUAAAGUCCCAAACCUCUAGGUAUAUAUAAUCAUCCUACACACACACAUUCUUCACCGCUUGCCGACGAUGGGAUAUUAAUUGCAAGACGGCUCUUAUGGAAGCAAUUUGAAACAGCUGCAAAUAAACGGCUUAGCCUACAUAGCAGCUCAAGGCAACAAAAAAAAACUUCAAGACUGGAUCCAAAAAUUUUGUGCCUCCUAAAACUUAAGCUAAGUAUCCAUUACUAUAAAUUCAAAAGAUAACCCAAAUCCUAAUUCAUUUUUCUCUUAUCCUAUAGCUUCCUACACUACUGGCUAAUACCUAUGGACCUUGGGCCCCUGUGAUGGAAUUCAACUUAUAGCUAAAACGAAAAAAAAACACGCACAUAAAUCCUACAGUUUAAACUGAUAUGCUAUGCCUAAAUACAAGGAAAGGAAUGUGAAUGGCGUAAUUUACAAACAGGUGUAUACAAGGUUACGUUCCGCUAACAUUAAUAAAACAAAAGGUAAUAAUGGGAUUGAAUUUGCCCCCUUAACGAGAAACCAAAGGUCACUGAAGGACAUCUAUAACGUUACCAUGCAGGCCUUUCUUGGUUUGGCAUUUGCUUAAACAACAAGAAGGAAAACGGACGGCAAGAAACGUCGCAAACGACCAUCGGGACUUGGAUCCCGUUAAGCCGUGACUUACGCCUCCUUCAUGGAUUAGGAAAAUACUCUGCUAUAAUUGUAUCCAUGUAAGUUUCAUGAAUUCCUCCAUGAGACUCACGGUUUCAGCUUCCCUUAACCCAUCACCGGGGGCUUACAUGGGCGGAAAAUAUGAAACAAACAUGGAACGAUUGAAACUAUAAUGACGUGGUAAGCCUGAUCUCUCAGGCCCCAUGUUGCGGGCGCCAUUUUCUUGUCACGUACCCCCAUAGGAGGUCGCUCCACCUUUUCUCUGGAGUGGCAAUUGAUGCUGGCGGGCGCUGGCUGCUGGCGGUUGAGCUCCGGCUGUGGCUCAGUGGAUGGGGCGCGGUUCUUUGCCAACACCUAUUGCCAAAAAGGAGGGACAAAAAAAACUAAAAUCAACCAGCUUGUGGAUGGACAAAUACAGCGGGUUCCUGGUUCUACUGGCGACUGUUCCGGAUAAAAUCCAAUGGAGUCCCCGGGUAUUGUGGUCCUGGUGGCAGCCUCUGCGGCCAAUAGGGUCCCUUUUAGGUUCUCGUUUGUCCGUCCGUCCGUCUAGUCUUUGGGGUUUUCUGAUGUGCUGCUUUCUCAGCACCGUAAGGUCAACAUUGGCUAAUGGGCAAGGAAAUAUCCUCUACUAUCCACUACCUAACCUAACUAUGAGCUCAUGCUUAGGUUACUCUAUAGAACCCAACCAAAGGAAAAAACUUUUUUUUAACAAAAAUAAAUCCGUCGAGAGUCAACCGUCUGUAUGCCUGUCUGUUUAUGGUCAGAGAAACUUUUUGGACUACCUUAUGGACACUGGGGUAUGCGACAGCGUCUAGGUCCCUCGGUGGAGUAGCGACAGGAGUUGUGGAUAUGCCAAUUGCAGCAGCUGUAGUCUUUUAUACGUGUGGCAGUGGAGGUGGAGGAGUCUUGACUUUCGCUUUUAUUUUUAGACUUAAGUUUUUAGCUUUAAAUUUUACAUUAUAUGAUCUGAUUUCUUUUCUAUUUCUUUUCAGUGUUUUUUACAGCUUUACUUUCUUUAAGCUUUAAGCUUUCCGAUUUCUUUUAUUCUUUUAUUUUUCAAGUUAUUUUAAAUCAUUGUAAAAUUUUCAUAAAUAUAUAUAUAUAUAUACACAUAUAUACGGUUUUUAGAAUUUUGCCUUAUAUUUGUAACUUUUUCUAUAGCUUUAAGAUGUUCACUAAAACUUUACAUUUGUUUUAAAUUAUUCCUUUAGUUUUCACCACUUUGUUUAUUCUGUGACACCGCUCAAUAAACACAUUAAAUUUUCUUUUGCUAAUUCACUUGUGUUUAAUUCUUUUUUAUAUUUACUGAUGGCUCCACCUCCGUCUGCUGCCA